UUUCAACCCAUCCAUUUACUCCCACGUUCUCUCCCACGUUCCCAUUUCCCAAACUUCCCACGUUCCAUCCUUUCUUCGAUCUCAACCCCCCUUCUGCUCUCGCGAUCUCUCUCCCUCCCCACUUCCGCUCUCAACCGGCGGUGGUGACACGACGACGACGUGAUCUCUCUCCGCCGCCAUCUCCAACGGCGACGACCUCUCCCCCUUCAUCCGCCGCUUCUUCGCCCAGUUCAAGCCCGAGGACCUCCUCCACAACCUCCGCCUCUUCGCCCGAUCCAAGGAGUCCGAGAUCGAGUCCGUCUGCAAAGCUCACUACCAGGACUUCAAUCGCGCCUUCGACGACCUCCGCUCCCUCCUCUCCAAGGCCGAAACCCUAAAAAGCUCGAUCUCUGACUCCAACUAGACUAUCCAGUUCGCCGGCGGCCCGCUCCUGGCGUCGCUCACCCCCUAAUUCUCAAUAACCCUCUCGAUAAACAGGUUGUUUGAUCUCUCAACGACCCUCUUGAUUCCUUUCUCUCAAAUGGAGACAGAUUUGAUGAGUUCUUAUUGGGACAAUGACGAUGAGUACGAAAUAUUCAAUCAGAGAAUGAACCCACCAAGGGUUGUAAUUGAUAAUGAAUCAUGUGCUAAUGCAACAAUUGUUAGAGGAAGUUUUUUCUCAGUGCGUAUUGAGUCUUAUAAGAUUAGAAACUAAGUUGGUUAUUAUGAGUUC